GAAGUACUCCCUCCGUUCGGAAUUACUUGUCGCGAAAAUGGAUGUAUCUAGACGUAUUUUAGUUUUAGAUACAUCCAUUCCCAAGACAAGUAAUUCCGAACGGAGGGAGUAUAAA
rfam:Triticum aestivum genome assembly, contig: Triticum_aestivum_CS42_TGACv1_scaffold_513144_6BS